GCCUUUGUAGUGAAACGGAUAUCACACGUGGCUUCGGACCACGGAUUAGGGGUUCAAAUCCUCUCAAGGGCA
rnacentral:tRNA from 1 species